rnacentral:tRNA from 1 species
CGAAAUAGCUCAAUUGGUAGAGCAACUGACUUGUAAUCAGUAGGUUACGGGUUCAAUUCCUGUUGUCGGC